rnacentral:lncRNA from 1 species
CUUUCGAUGUCGACGGGAGGAAACUGUCACGCAGGCCACCAACCGGCGGUGGAGGGCGCGGUGCCGAGUCCUGCCACUGCAGGGUCGCCCCGCUGGCUCAAGCUCUAGAAGCGUAGACCUCCCCAGCCGCAAAAAUGUCUCGCUCUUCCGCCCAGUCUCGAGUGCAGUGGUGAGAACACGGCUUACUGCAGCCUCAAAAUCCUGGACCCAAAAGAUCCUCCCACCUCAGCCUGCCUCCCAGGUAGCUGGGACUACAGGCGCACAACACCAUCGCUUCUUGGAUUAAAAGAAAAGGAUGAAACGGGCCCCAGAAAGAGGCGGUGACGUCCCAGAACCCAUGGCAGGGGAGUUGGGAAAAUAAAUAUUUGUAUUGUUUUAAUCUCCCUUGUGGCUUUUUUUAACCCCCGAAACAGCAAGGUAUUUUUAAAAGGGAUGAAGAGAGUUGCUUCAAAUGUUUUGAGACGUUGUUAUUUUUAAUAUGUGAGUGAAUAUCUUAGAAACAAAAUGAACAAGAAAUAAAAAUUUUAGAAAAUAUAUGAGUUAAUCUCUCAGCAGAGUCUUUAUUAAAAAGCAUGUUUAUGGUCAGUCAUCUGGCACCCCGUUCUCUUAAUAGAUCCCAUCUGCUCCAUCAUCUAGUUCUAAAACAUUUAUAUAAGAUGCAAUUUACAAUUUUGCACUCAGUGCAGUUUGAUCCAUUCCAAAUUCAAUAUAUGCAGACUUUUCCGGGUGGCGAUGUGAGGCUACGUACCACCAAAUAUGUGUUCUGCAAUAUAGAAAGUAUUUCCCCCAUAGUUAAUGCACUCUCAUAGUGGAGUUACUUUAGCUUUACCAGAGCCACCCCCUUCUUUUACAUCAUGUCUAUUGACGUCAGUUUACAUAUAGAUAUCUUUUAAAUAUGACUGAUGGGAUAUAAAAGGAAUGAAAGGAAAGAGUCUUAGAUGACUUCUGAGUCUAAAAAGGAAAUGUGUUUUAAAUUUAAAAUUUAUAAGUACCUAAUGAAAAAUACAUAUGAAACAAAGUGAAGUGACAGAAUUACAAAGAAAAAAAAUGCCUGGUCAUAUUGGGUAAUUUUAACAGGACUUUCUCACUAAUCGUUAAGACUAGCAAGAGAAAAGUUAAGGAUAUAGGAAACGUGAAUAACAUGAUGUAAAAAUGACGCAAUUAAUAUGUACAGAACAACACGACCAAAAUCAGAAUGUACAGUUUUUUGAAAGCAGACACAUCACCACAGUCAACCACAUACUUAGUUAUAAAGCAACUCAAGAAAUUUUGAAAAUUGAAAUAAUUGUCAUUUUUUACUACAGUGCAUUUAAGAUAGAAAUCAAUAAAGAACUGUAAAAACAAGCCUGAAUAACACAGAGACAGAGUCAAUGGUAUUGAGAAAAUAUUUUGAACUGAACCAUAAAAUAACAAUAGCAACACCUGUGGGAUGAAACUGAAGCAGCACUUACAGGGACAUUUAUAGCCAUAAGUAAGUGUAUUAGAAGAGUCUGAAAAGUCUUGAGCUGAAAAUCCCUUUUCAAGAAGUUAGAAAAAGGACAGCAAAAUAAGACAGAAAAUAGAAGGACAGAAAUAAUGUUAAGAGCAGAAAUUAACGAAAUGGAAAAUAAAAGCAGUGGUGUACCAGAGCCAGCCUGUACUGGCAUAGGAGAGCCAAUUGUGCACACCUCUUGGCAACUCCAUGAUCAAUAACAUCAAAUAAGUAGCUUGAAGUCACCCACGAUGGGACUGUUUACACUAUGGAACUCAACAAACAAGCCAGGAUUUUGUUUUAUGUUUGGAGCCAAUUCAAAUAAGUAGCUUGAAGUCAACCAUGAUGGGACUGUUUACACUAUGGAAAUCAACAAGCCAGGAUUUUAUGUUUGGAGCUAACUCACUAGCACACCACAGCAUAGAAUAGGUUGAAAGAAGCCAAAAGUUGAUUUUUUUUGGAAAAGAAAAAUUAAAAUUGGCAAACAUCUAAUAGCUAUAAAAGGAGGGAUGUCAACAAUCUUUAUCAAGAAUGGAAACUAGAAAUACUAUAGACAUCAAAAAAGUUAGAUAAUCUUGUAAACAAUUUAGUGCAAAUAAGAUUUAGAUGACUGUACAAACUUCAAGAAAAACAACUCAAAAGUAGAGAAACUAUUACAUAAUUUGAAUGAGUAGUGAAGAAUCUUCAUACACACAAAUCCCAGGUACGUGGCUCCACCAGUAAGUUCCUACAAACUUUGAAAUCAUUCCAUUCUUACUGAAUAAGGCUACCAUAACUUUUGUACUAAUUAUAAAAUCCCCAAACCUCUGAAACACCACACACUUUGGAACUCAUUUGGUGAAAAAUACGACUUAAAGUAACAUGAGGCUCUUUAUAGUUGUUAUUAUCACUUAGGUGACUGCAUAUGCUUUUCGGUAGAAAUAUUAAUGUAUUUCAUUAUGGGUACUGUCCCAGUUCUUGUUGAGAAUAUUAUACAAUAUAUGUUGUAUGUUUCAUACUACCCUUCUAAUAUUUAAAAUAGUCUAUAUUUCAAACAUCUGGCUCCAGGGAUUUCAGGUGAGUUAUGUGGACCUAUAUAAGAAAAAAUCUUUAUGACUUAGGUUAAGAGGAAUUUUUAGCCAUAAAGGAAAGUCUCAGUAAUUAUCAAAUGAUGUGGCCGGGUGCGGUGGCUCACGCCUGUAGUCCCAGCACUUUGGGAGGCUGAGGCAGACGGAUCAUGAGGUAAGGAGUUCGAGACCAGCCUGGCCAACAUGGUGAAACCCCGUCUCUAAUAAAGAUACAAAAAAUUAGCCGGAUAUGGUGGUGUGUGCCUGUAAUCCCAGCUACUCAGGAGGCUGAUGCAGGAGAAUUGCUUGAACUCAGGAGGCGGAGGUUGCAGUGAGCUGAGAUCAUGCCAUUGCACUCCAGCCUGGGUAACAGGGAGAGACUUCGUCAAAAAAAAAAAAAAAAAAAAAAAAAAAAAGAUGUGUUACAUACAUAAAAAUAUUGGGCUACAUAAAAGUAAUGGACUUUUGUUUACCAAACAAUACCAUGAAGCAAGUGAAAAAGGAUUAGUAUCCAGAAUAUACAAAUAACACAAAUCAAUAAGAAAUAGACUUGCCCAUUUUGAAAAUGGGCAAAAAGCUUAAAUAGGCACAGCACCAAAUGCAAAUGACUAAUACAUGAAAGGACCAACAUUCCCAUUAGUAACUAUAGAAAGGAACAUGAAAAUAACAAUGCAGUACUAUUAGACACCCAGCAGAUCAAAAAAUAAUUUAAAAGUCUGACAGAAACAAGUUUUAAGGAAGAAGCAAGGAAUAUCCUCAUACACUGUGGUAGCAUAAGUUGAUACAAUCAGGGAAAACAGUGUGGCAUUAUCUAGUAAGAUUGAAUUAUCUAGUAAGAUUGAAGAUACACAUUCACUGUGACUCAGCAACUCUACAGAAUUUCCUGUACAUAUGCAUUUUUUUAAUAGCUGAAACCAUUAUGCAACUCAAACUUGUAUCAACAAUAGAAUGGAUAAAUUAUGGUAUAGUCAUACUGUGAAAUAUAAUACAGCAACAAAGAGAAACAAACGAUUAUUUACAAUAACAUGGUGAAUUGCCAUACUGAGACAACCAAUGAAUACAGAAUAUUUCCACUUACAUAAAGUUCAAAAACGGGCAGAACUCUACUAUAUUGUUUAAAAUAACAGUCAUAAGUAGUAAAACUAUACAGAAAAGCUAAGAAAUGAUUAUCACAAAUGUUCCUCUCUAGGGUAAGAAAGGAGAUAUGAUCAGGGAGGGGCACAUGGUGGGGCUCCUGGGAUGCGGAGAAUGUUUUAUUUAUGGACCUGAGUGUUCGCUUUAUAAUUAUUCUUUAAAUAAACUGUACAUAUAUGUUUUAUUCACUUUUCCAUAGGAAUGUAUAUCUCACAAUUUCUAAACAAAUAAAAUGAGUAAUUGACCUGAGGAAGGUCAUCUUUAAUAAAUUUGAUUUACAGAAAGGUAAAAAUAGUGGUCACACAGAAUAUUUGUAGUGUUAUUACUAAAUUUUUAAUGAAUUUAGUAUCUUAAGUGCUCUUCGAGGUCAAAAGUUAGUGGUCUCUAGUGCUAAAUGCCACCGUGCACCUAAGCAAUUCCUAGUGGUCUGUGGUAAGCUUAAGGGAUAGACAAGGAAGAUAUUACCAGAGAGAUGUAGUGAGUUGCAAUAACAUUCCCCACCUUACCCCUGAAGAAGUCUAGUUCGCCAGUUGGGAAAUGCUGGUUUUACUAACAGAGCAAAAACAAACUAGAAGAGAGGAAUUUUGUGGUGUCAAUAAGAAAAAGAAAAUUAACACAGGAUAACAAUUGCAAAGACCAUUUCACCUUACAAAAUCUUAAAGAUUAAAAUGGAACAAUGUGGGUGCCAUAAAAUGAUUUCAAGUGUGCUGUUUUGACACAAAGAGGGUGUAAUCACCCAGCCUAUGUUUGGAGGAGAGAGGAGGCGAGGAGGAGUCAGUGUGAAGAGGUGGAAGACGUGUUGUGCUGGGUUGCCAUCCAGAGGAAAUUUUGAGUGGGUGCUCUCUAGUCGGAACGAAGUAGAUCCCCAAACCACUGGUGGGCAGGGCCAGACAGACCCAGUCGCACUGAAAAUGUAUGUGUUGUUUUUCUGUUGCUGCCCACAGACUUUUAUUUAUAAUCUGUACUGUUACAAAGCAGUUAUCACAGACACCUACUCACGGGCACAGACCGGAGAACGAUUCCCUUGACUUCAGUGUUGCUACAGCGAUCUUCUGAAUUUCUUCUAGAUCUCUGUGCUGUCUCCUUGCCUUCCUCAACCCCCUUAACUAUAGGUAUACGCCAAGAUGCUGUCCCUUCAUUUCUCUCUCUCUCUUGCUCUCCUCUCUCUCUCUCUGCAUUGUUUUAGUUGGUGAGUCAAUUCACUCUGAUAGUUUCAGUUAGCACUUCUGUCACAAAGACUUGCAAGACUAUGUUUUGGUCCUUAAAAGAACCUUUGUGACAGUUUUCUUGUUCCACAUCCCUAUUGGAUAUCUUCACUUGUUUAUCUUUCCAUCAUUCCAAGACGUUCAGAACUGGACUCGAUAUUUUCUCUCUAGAAGCGCUGCUCUUCUUAAGCUGUUCUUUUUCAUCAGUUCCACAAGUCCUUUGUCUUCCCGUUAGAAGCCUUCCAGUUCUCUUUUAUGCUCCCUGCUCUGUAUUUACAUAGCCAAUCCAUUUCACAGACAUUAUGCAUCUGUGCAGUGCCAGCCUCCAUGGUUGGCCUUGGGGAUAAAGACAAAUAAGAGGCCAGUGGCCCAUGCCUGUAAUCCCAGUACUUUGGGAGGCCGAGGCGGGUGGAUCAUGAGGUCAGGAGAUUGAGACCAUCCUGGUUAACAGGGUGAAACCCCGUCUCUACUAAAAAUACAAAAAAUUAGCCAGGCGUGGUGGCGGGUGCCUGUAGUCCCAGCUACUCAGGAGGUUAAGGCAGGAGAAUGGCAUGAACCCGGGAGGCGGAGGUUGCAGUGAGCUGAGAUCGUGCCACUGCAGUCCAGCCUGGGCAACAGAGCGAGACUCCGUCUCAAAAAAGACAAAUAAGGUAGGUCUCAGCCUUUGAGAAGCUCAGUCUAGUGGAGGACAUGGACCAUAUUAUCCUCUAAUAAAGGGCAAUAAGAGCUAUGAUAGAGGCAGGCAUCCAAUGCAAUGGGUGUCCAGAACAGGAGUUUGCCAAGAGACCUCAAAAAGGGGAACACAGGUGGUAUUAGAAACAGCACAGUGGAAUGGAGAAGAGUAUUGUGUUCAGAGGCAGACUACACUUGAAUUCUAUUUCCUCCAGUGUCAAGCUGUGCAACCUUGGUCAGGUUACUGAAUCUUUGUAUACAUUGGUUCCCUCGACUGAAAAUGUGGGUGGUAAUAUAGACCUUAGGUUUCUUGUGAAAGUUAAAUGAAACAAGCCAUGCAAAGCACUUAGAAGAGUGUCUAGCACAUUAAAAAAUUUCAUUCAUUCAACAUACACACAUAUAUAUAUAUAGAGAGAGAGAGAGAGAGAGACAGAGAGAGAGAGAGCACUUACUAUGUGCUGUUUUAGGGGCUUAGGAGACAUCAGAGAACAUAUAGAUAAAAAUUCCUACCCUCAUGGAAUGUGCAUUUUAGCAGGGAGACAAUAAGCAAUAGACAUAACAAAUAAAGUAUAUGUAGUAUGUUAGGUAAGUGUUAUAGGAAAAAGAAAAAAGAAAAUGUUAAUUAUUAAUAUUACUGUAUUAUAGAAGUCACUUUAUCUUAGACUUAAAGGAAGAGAAGUCUUAUAAACAGAAAAAUGUUUCAUCUCAUCUAAGAUGCAUUCAUCAUAAGUUGCACUCUUCUCCUUCUCCUUCUCCUUCUUCUUCUUUUUGAGACAGAGUGUCACUCUGUCCCCCAGGCUGGAGUGCAGUGGCCCGAUCUCAGCUCACUGCAACCUCUUCCUCCCGGGUUCAAGUCAUUCUCCUGCCCAGCCUCCCGAGUAGCUGGGACUACAGGCGCGUAUCACCACGCCGGGCUAAUUUUUUGAAUUUUUAGUAGAGACGGGGUUUCACCGUGUUAGCCAGGAUGGUCUUGAUCUCCUGACCUUGUGAUUCGCCCGCCUCGGCCUCCCAAAGUGCUGGGAUUACAGGCGUGAGCCACCGCACCCGGCCUGCACCAUUAUUUUAUAUACGACUAAGAAAAGAAAAAACAUUGCCAAAUUGAGUAUAACACAAUGCUUUUUAUUACCGAGGAUUUUUCUUUUUGUUUUUGAGACAGAGUCUUGCUUUGUUGCCCAGGCUGGAGUGCAGUGGCAUGAUCUCAGCUCACUGCAACCUCCGCCUCCCGGAUUCAAGCUAUUCUCAUGCCUCAGCCUCCCAGGUAGCUGGGAUUACAGGUGCCCACUACCACACCCAGCUAAUUUUUGUAUUUUUAGUAGAGGUGGGGUUUCUCCAUGUUGGCCAGACUGGUCUCGAAUUCCUGACCUCGAGUGAUCCACCUGCCUCAGCUUCCCGAAAUGCUGGGAUUACAGAUGUGAGCCCAGCCCUACCUAAGAUUUUUAUCUUAAACAUUAAAACCUAUUUAGACAUAUUUAGGCAUGGAUUAUUUUCAUUGUAUUAUACUUUUAAAUACAUUAAAAUGAAAAUAAAAGCAGAAAUUGAUUAAGGUAUUCCUAAAACUUCUUUAUAUUUACUCCUCUAAAUCACUUUUUGAUUCAGUCAGAAAUGUCUUCCCUUCCCUUCCAGGCAAAGCAAGCAGUAAUACGAAUGUCCAGAGAUAGGGCAGAACCAGUCUCUUGACAACAGUGAACAGCUUACUAUCCCUGGAACAUAGGGUGCAGGAUGGGGGUUUGUGGGAAAGAGGUGAGGAGGUCUCUCUAUCAUUAGAGCCUACUGUUCCUUGAUUAAAAACAACUCUCAACUCUUUUCUUCUUAAUUAAUUCACAACAUUCACGUAUUCAACACUCAGUCCCUACCACCAAUAUGGGGCCACAUGGUGGUCCAGACACAGUCCUAGCCCCCAAGUUGCUUUCAAGCCCCCAUACCUGGGUCCUUGUAUAACAGAUCCUGAUUCUUCUUGGCCUGAGGCUCCAGAUUCUUUCCCUUGCAUCCAUCCUUGCCCUACUUUGCUGGGCAAGUCUUACACAAGUGCCACUUUCAUCACGUUGCUCUGAUCCAUCCUCAGGCACAAAUGAUGAACAGCUAUUUGAUUUCUCAGCCUGAUAUUAGGAGUCUCUAGUCUCUGCAAUCUGACUCCAGCCUUCCAUAACCUAUUGGUUGUUCCCUGGUCCUUCAGUCAGGCCCCUUCUUGGCCGGUGCACCCACCCACUCAUUCCCACAUCUAUGCUGGUUCUUACCUUUGCUCUCACCUUUGAUGCUCUUCUCCAACCUGCUCAGCAACAAAAUCUGAUGCACUGGCCCAUAUCCUUUCAGAAGCCUUCAGUGACAGGAGAGCACACUCAUUUGGCCUUUUCCUGAUGGCUUUUGUAUUCCUAGCCAGUACAACAUGUUCUGUAAUUAGCCCACUCCGCAGCCAGGCACGGUGGCUCAUGCCUGUAAUCCCAGCAAUUUGGGAGGCUGAGGCAGGCAGAUCAUUUGAGGUCAGGAGUUCGAGACAAGCCUGGCCAACAUGGUGAAACCCUGUCUCUACUAAAAAAUACAAAAAAUUAACUGGGUGUGGUGGCGCACACCUGUAA